rnacentral:rRNA from 1 species
AUAUACAGUUUCUUACCUGGGUUGGACAAAGUUUACACUAUUGGCUUGGCUGCUAUAUGUUGGGCUAUUUGGUUGGCCAGGAACCGAGCCACUUUUGAGCUCAAAUGGAUUAACUCUCCAUUUGAGAUUGUUUUCACAGCUUGUGCUUUUUUGGUAAACUGGGCAGGUCUCCAGAAAGCAGAGAUGGGAGAGAUGGUGAAGAAAGGAGCGGAGAUGCUGAGAGAGAACACUUCGCAGAUGAUGCUGCUUUGCGGUCCACCAGGUCCAACUAAAGAUGGGCGUGAUGAGAACUAA